ensembl:lncRNA
ACACUAUAACACACCAUAACACACCAUAACACACUAUAACACACCAUAACACACCAUAACACACUAUAACACACCAUAACACACUAUAACACACUAUAACACACCACGUUAUAUCCACGCCAACUUCUCUCUCCACUGUAACCCAGCAGCCAUGAUCCAACUACGGUCUCUUAAUAGAUCCCCCAAAGGGCUUUAACCCUCUGUUGUUAUCAGGGUGUAUGUAGACGAGGCCCUAGCUUGGGGAGCUACAGAAAAUAUACACUGCGUCAUAGUUUUGUUUUUCCUGUGUUUAAAAAAACAAAAAACAAACAAUAUAUGUUGUUUAUUUGCCAUUUUGAUGAAUAUACAGUAUGCCCUGUUCUAACUCAAGCCAGGGGCACGUUCUAGUCUUCAGUCCCUUUAACAUCUGAUCUAGAGGAACUGGGUACCAGAACCACGUUGGAGGCUCGUCGGAGCCAUCGUCUUGUUGCUUAUGAAACUGACGUCAAUGUGUUUGCUGACACAUAUAAAAUCAUCAGAUUCGAUAGCGCCAUUGACGACAUUUCAAGCUAGCUGUGGAGUGAUCUUAACGGGCAGGGUUCCUACCACCAUAACACAAUCACCUAUCCAGCCCCUUCAGAAACACAAGGGGAGAUGGGCUUUCAGAACACACUGGAGUUCUGAAGAGUCAUCUGUUCUAGAACUGUCCUUGUUGACACGAGGCAUGAUGGGUACUGUAGUUCUCCAGUUCUUCCUGAAGGGUACCUGUAUGAUUGGUUGUCCUGAGUUGGUCACGUCACAUCCACUGUUUCCUCCACAGCUAUUCCCUGUUGAUAGUUGAUGUCAUUGAGAGUUUAUCCACAGUAUGGGGUUUGUGGCGAGCUCAAGCACAGCAUUAUCGGAACUCUGAGGUGACAUUUUUAAAUGCCUGGUUCAAUCAUUUUUUACAUUUAUUAAGUCAUUUAACAGACUCUCUGAUCCAGAGACACUACAGUAGUGAGUCAUUUAGCAGACUCUCUGAUCCAGAGCCACUACAGUAGUGAGUCAUUUAACAGACUCUCUGAUCCAGAGCCACUACAGUAGUGAGUCAUUUAACAGACUCUCUGAUCCAGAGCCACUACAGUAGUGAGUCAUUUAACAGACUCUCUGAUCCAGAGUCACUACAGUAGUGAGUCAUUUAGGAGACUCUCUGAUCCAGAGCCACUACAUAGUGAGUCAUUUAACAGACUCUCUGAUCCAGAGCCACGACAGUAGUGAGUCAUUUAGCAGACUCUCUGAUCCAGAGCCACUACAGUAGUGAGUCAUUUAGCAGACUCUCUGAUCCAGAG